GACGAACCGUGCAAACGUUAUUCGGAAUCACUGGGCUUAAAGGGCGCGUAGGCGGGCGGUCAAGUCAGGGGUGAAAUCUUUCGGCUCAACCGGAAAAGUGCCUUUGAUACUGGCCGUCUCGAGGGAGGUAGGGGCGUGCGGAACUUUGGGUGGAGCGGUGAAAUGCGUAGAUAUCCAAAGGAACACCGGUGGCGAAAGCGGCGCGCUGGACCUCUACUGACGCUGAGGCGCGAAAGCCAGGGGAGCAAACGGG
rnacentral:rRNA from 1 species